rnacentral:lncRNA from 10 species
UGCAAAUUCCAGGACCGAUAAAGUUUUAUUGAAUCACAGCCAUGUUCGCUCACUUUUGUGUUUCAACAGCAGUGUUGAGGAGUUGCAAUCGAGACCACAAGCCUGCUGACCACAAACCCACUGACCUAAAAGAUUCCCUACCCAGCCCUCAGCAGAAACAUGUGCCAACCCCUAAAAGUUCUCUGUGCUCUGAAAAGUGAACUUUCAGUCUCAAAGUGAAGACCUUUUACUUGGCACAGGGUAGAAACCUCACCUCCUUCUCUGAAGCCAUGAACUCAUUCCUCACUUUGGAGAUGGGAGGCUGCAAAGAAACACGAUUUGAAAGCAAAUUGCAAAUCCAUCUUGUUAAUGUCUUCAGCAUAUUGUAGCCAUUAUACAGACAGGCAAACAAAAACCACGCAAGCUGAAUAAAACCGUCUGUGGCCAAAUGCGGCUCGCGAGUCCCUAGCACGCAGACUCUGGGCUUCAUGAGCUUCUCCGGCUUCUCCUCCUGACUCCAGGGCUCUGCCAGCUGGAGCCAAUGCCUCUUCCUGCCUCAGCUUCCCCGGCUCUCUAGCAUCCUGCUCAGGCCACACACGCCUCCUCACCAGCCUGCCUUUGAGAGCAACUGUGGCCUGGAGGGAGGCGUGGCCUUGGGGCCACAGGUUUAAGUUCUGCACCAGCUGCAGCUUACUAGAACGGGGCUUUGGGCUCCAGCAGGUACCCAUAGGGGUGGCUUCCUGGCCCAGCAAUUCCCUCUCCUAGCCAUCACAGGCAGAGGCAGGCUGGGUCUGGAUUUCCCUUUCCAGUGAGUUUGGGAUCCAGGUUCAUGGAGCCUGGGACUUGCAUGGAGCCUCCACCAGGCAGGUGCCCUGAGAGAAGGGCAGGAACUUCUUGCUUCACUGAUCCACCCAGAGCCUCCGUGUUUCCUGCUUCCUGUGAGUGGUCGCUCAGCACUUUGAUCCUUCAGGCAGGUGUUAGGGGGAGCCCUACCUUCCACCCAGGAUGCCCAGAUCGGGAGGAUCCAGGUCAGGAAGGUCUGGAGGACAUUUGGACACAGACACAGGCCAUGUGAGCAUGAAGGCAGAGACUGGGAGAUGCAUCUAGAAGCCAAGGAACGUGGAAGAUGGCCAGCAAACUGCCAGACACAGAGGGAGAGGCCUGGAGCAGUCUCCCUUAUAGCCCCAGGAGGAACCAACCCUGUUUGCACGUUGCUGUUGGACUUCUGGCCUCCAGAACUGGGAGACAACACGUUUUGGUGGCUUAAGCCACCAACGAUAUUCAUGCAGCCCCUGUGGAGGUCAAGGGAUUUGUUCCAGAGCUCUGGGCAAGUCACUUUGCUUUUUGAGGCUUCCUAGCCUGUAAAGUGGGGAGUGGCAGCUGUCUGCAGCUGUCAAGAUCAAAUGAGGUAAAGAAGUCUGAAGAGAGGGGAGGCGGAGACGCUGACCUCCAUUUCUGCCCUGCUUCUGCCACUCCCUAGCUCAUGGCCACUUGCCCGCUACUUAAUAAUAGUAGUUACCUCCCAGGAUGGUUUGGGACCAGCGGCGUUAUUUGAUAGAAAUCACCUGGAGAGCAGCAGCGCUCCCCAGAGUUUUGCAGUUCUUGUUCAUGACAGAGCCCAGCGGAGGGUCCAAGCGUGAGGGAGGAACGUCAAGGGCAGUGUGGCGGGUGCAGGAGCUGGAGGGGGCUUGGGGUUUGGUGGUUGACCUUCGACCUUCUCCAACAGAGAUGCAAAUGUUACAGAUGGGGUCUGGGGACAGCCAAGUGGGGAGAGGUGGACUGGAGUUGAGUGUGCUCUGGUUUGGAAGUGAGACCUUGACUUGUGGUGGCCUCACCCUGUUUGGGUGACAUCUCUGUUCAGAGCUAAGCCCCAGGGACACAUGGCAAGGAAGACAGAUGGGAGUGGUGGCAGUCGGGAGCCUCGGCGAGAUUCUAUCUGGUGCUGGGCUGGAGCCGGGGAAUGGGACCUUCUUCUGACAGCUCUCUGGCUGCUUCCGAUGGAAAAGAAGCUGAUCUGUGCGAUGCGGGCUUGAACCCACAUUGACCAGAGACUUUGCAGCCAGCUCACCCCUCCAAAUCCCCGCCCUGGAGUCCCUGACCCAGGAAUUUCUGCAUCAGGCUGCUCAAACCUGAAUUUGACAAAAUUUCAAAGCGCUGUAUCUUUAUGUUGAUAAGACAACGGAUAAAGUGCCAUACUUGGAACCUAGAUCACUCAAUGUUGCCUGUAGCUGAGUCCACUUCUGUCACUCACCCUGCAUUGCCCUGCCAGGAGCAAGGGAGAGAAAGCCAGCCAGAAGGCAUGGGCAUGGGCUCAAAUCUGGCUUCUCCUGUGGCCACUGUGAAAGUUGAUCAUACAAAGGUCACUGUUGUCAUAGCCAAGCAGAGUUAUGAGACCACAGGAAAAAGCACUUGGACCACGUAACAUUGCUCCAAGAGUAUAACUGUCUCCAACCCUGGCUGCUGGAACAAGUGUUGCAACCUGAAACCGGUUUGAUCUAAUAGCUACAGAAACAACCUGCGGAAAUCUAAGACUAGUUUCACCCACUCACCAAUCAGAGCUUGCCGGAUCCCCAAAACGUUGCUAGUGCUAAUGAACUUGCUUUCCUAACAAUCCAUAACAUUUCUCAUUUUUAUGAAACCUACAACCUUCUCUUUGCUCUUUGGACAUACUGAAGACCACCCAGUCUGUGUGUAUGCCCCAAACUGAAAUUCUUGCUCCCCAAAUAAAACAUUUUAAACUUAGAGAUUUGUCUGUAUAUUUUAUUUGACUUUGACAGCACCAGGGGCUCCGGCACAAAUCUCCUCCUUCAAGCCCUUUUCUACACAGUCCCGUGGGUCUACCCUGAAAGAAGCCUGAUGACGGCUCAAAGACACAAUGUUACUGGGAGGUAAAUUCAGGAUUACUUGACCGAAUGGCCCACCCGAGGUCACGGAGGCUGCUGGAGGAACAGAAAAUGGUCUUCACCAAGUGAAGCAUUGUCGGUCUUGGCCUGUGUCUGGCUGGAGAAUGUUAAAAUUCUGGGGACACAACAGAAAAGGCACAGUUGUGGGGACCAGGCCAAUGUCAGCGUGAGAACUGGCUCCAUCCCCCUCCCAUGAACCAGCUCUGCGGCCAAGGCAGGUCUGCAUUUCCUGGUCUGUGACACGGAGUCAGUAACAUUGCCUACUUCCCGGGGCUAUUUCCAGAGAAGUGAGGGAAUGGGUGUGGAACGCCUGCCAUCUGCGGAGCCCCGCAUGAAACGUCUCUGUCUUUCCAGCCAGCCCUGAGCCAGGGAAGGGACUGGAAGCACAGCGGGUGGCUGAGGCGGGCUUUCGGCAGCUUACCCCCAGCCUUGCCCCUCCCCGCCUGCUGAAACACAAUCUAUGGUUGUCGCCUUCCUGGAGAUGUUAGCCGCCCCCUCCAGAGGUGGUUCCAAAUCUAUUUCUCAUUUGGCUGAUUUAGGAGAGGCUGCGAAUCGGUCGCUAUGGUUUCUUUAUUUUCUCCUGACAGCUUAGGAAUCAUUUUUCCAAUUAUUCCCAGGGGAGGAAAAAGAAGUGGAGGAAGCCAGUGUUUGGAAUGAGGGGAAGCUCACGGAUCUGAAAUGCAACCUCUUCUGCAGGAGACCCGGCACAGCUACCGGGACCCAUCACCUCCCUGUAGGAACCCCGCCCAGCCCCCUCCAGCCAGCCCUGCGUGGUUGUGGCCCCACUGCAGAAACGCCUCCGCUUAACACUCCAGCCUCUCUUCUAUUCGGUCAGGCCACAGCUGCUGACUUUGUGCCUGCUGUAGCAACCCCGAGCCCCCAAAUAAACCCUCCCUCCCAGGGUGGCCUCUCUACGGGGGGAGACAGACGGUGACCAAAAGCUAUCAGUUAAAUGCACAAACAGGACUUAGAGGGUGGAAAGUGACAAGAAGAGAAAUAUGGCAGGAAAAAGGGGUGGGGGUGAAAUUUUACACAGAGCCAUGGGGAAGGCUGCUGAGGAGGACCUGCAGGAGUGGGGGGCUCCCAGACAGGAACUGUGGCCCACUGCACGGAUAUGGGCAAGUUUGGAAGGGAAUGAGCCACUCCAAGCCUCAGCCUUGGCCAGCCAUUCUCAGGUCCAGGCAGGAAAGAUGCCAGCAGUCCCACAUCAGCUGAGGUGUUCAAACACAGUGGUGUCCCCUAAGCAGGGAGACUGCAGAGGGGAUUCAAGCCCUGGGCAGGGGGCUAAAGUAGGCCAAUCCUGGUUCUGCAACUGUCCCUGGCCCAGCAGCUUGUUGGCUGUGUAGCGUCUCAGGCACUCCCUAAAGGUCAAGGAGUCUUGGCCGAGACUUCGGCUCACCCCAGCCCAGCUUCUGCUCCUGGCCGGGAAUGGUGUUUCCUAACCACACGUCCAUGGAGCAGGAAGGUACGCCUCCACCCGCUCCCAUUCCUUCUCCACAGCUUGCCACAGGGCAGUGCUGGGUUUAGUUCCUCUCCUUAUUUAGAGCUGGGGCGUAUCAGGUGUGCAGCUGGACAGGUACCAGCCAAGGCAGAGAAUGCAAGUCAGCCACGGGUGGCAUGUCGGGAAGCACCAGAAGGUGCCAACUUUGGCAUCCAGGGCCUUCCUGGACCUGCUGAAAUUUGGUCUAAAUGUGCUCUUGUACCCGUGUGGAAGGGCUCAGUGCAGCCUGGGUCUGGGAUUUCAGGGAGCAGAGUAUGAUUCUGGAUGGGUGAUUUAGCCGCAAGUGAGAGUUUUUACUGAGCCCAGCAAUGGGCAGAGCAUGGUUCUGGGGGUGGCUGGCUUGGGGGCGACACAGACAGGUAAACCAGUUGUCCGUGUGAGUGGAGGGGGCAGAAGUUGAUAAGAGCAGGGAGUGACGGGCAGGGGGGUCUGGGAGCUCAUUUCUCAUAAUUAGGUGUUUUCAUGGUAGCUUUGUGCUGCCGCCGACAGAACCCCUUGUUGGGAUGAACUUGUAGUGGGAUGAUAUUUUAAUCUCCCAUAUUCUGUUAGUUUGCCAGAGCUGCCCUAACAAAGUACCACAAACUAGGUGGCUUGAAACAAUAGAAAUUCACUGCCUUGCAGUUCUGCAAGCCAAAAGUCUCUGAUCAAGGUGUGAGCAGGGAUGGUUCCUGCUGGGGCUGUGACGGAGACUCUAUUCCAGGCCUCCCCAGCUCUGGGUGGUUUUCUGGCCACCUUUGGCAUUCCUGGGCUUCUAGACACGUCACCUCAAUCUCUGCCUUCGUGUCCACGUGGCGGUCUCCCUGUGUGUGUGUCUGUGUCAAAAUUUCCCCUUUUUAUAAGGAUACAUUCAUAUUGGAUCAGGGCCCACCCUACUCCAGUAUGACAUCAUCUUAACUUAUCACAUCGGCAAUGACCUAGUUCCAAAUAAGGGUCCUUCGGAGGCACCGGGGGUUAGGACUUUGUAUUCGUUUGCGGGACUGCUAUAACAAAGUACUGCAGACCCAGGGGCUUAAACAAUAGAAAUGCAUUUCUGCCAGUUCUGGAAGCUGGAAGUCCACGACCAAGGGGUCCGCAGGGCUGGUUUCUUCCGAGGCUUCUCUCCUUGGCUUGCAGAGGAACGUCUCCUCCCCGUGUCUUCACCUGGCCUUUCCUCCGGGCAUGGCUAUGUCCAUAUCUUCCCUUCUCGUAAGGACUCCAGGCAGAUGGGAUUACAGCCCACCCACAUGACCUCAUUUUAACUUAAUUACACUACUUCUUUAAAGGCCCUUUCUCCAAAUGCAGUCACAUCCUGAGGUACAGGGGUUAGGGCUUCAACAUAUGGAUUUUGGAGAAACACAAUUCAGGUCAUAAGACUUCAACAUAUCUUUUUGGGGGAAACAGUUCAACUCAUAACACACACUGUGAAGCAGUUUUAUCUCUUGCUGCAAACAUUUCCUCAGCUCCCAUUCUGUGCUGGGCCCCGUGCUAGAAGCCGGGGGAGCCGUAGCAUCACCCUUCCAGGAGCCCCGUCUGCAAUGGGUGACAGACCAGUCGUGACUGUAGCUCGUGUGACAGCUGCCAAACUAGAGGCUCAAGGGUGAGGGGCUGGGAGAGCUGAGAGGAGCCACACUCGCUCUGUGGGGAAGUGAGGCAGGAAAAGGUAACUGGACAAGGCUGACUGGGAGGUGGCCAGACCAGCAGGAGGGUGGGGGUGUUUCAGGCAGGGGGGCCACACUUGCAGACGCUCAGAAGCACCAGGGAGCCUGGCACAUUCCGGAAACUGCAGCUGCUUCCUCCGAACCUUCUGGGCAUCUGCGAGGCCCUCCUGACCUGGAUCCCUAGCACCCCGACCCAGUUCUGUGAAGCGUGUCUCUGGGCGCUCCUGAAGGCAGGACUGAGAGCUCCUGUCCCUCCCCUUGCUCCGUUUCCAUGUUCUGGGAGGAAAGAAUGAAUGGAAGUUGCGAGAAACUGGGCUCACAUGUUCAGCAGUCGGCAUUGACUGAACAGUCCUGUGCCAGGUGCCUCACUUGCCUUGCAUUUUUUUUUUCAGUGUAAAUCCACCCUUUAUUGCCUCCAAAAAGAUAUUUUCUACAGCUUUACCCAGGUAUAACUGACAUUUAAUGAAGCAGUACAAUUUGAUGAGUUUGACAUGUCUACACCUGUGAAACCGCCCCCUGAAGCCAUGUGCCCCUCUGUCGCCCGUCCCUCCUGCCCCUGCCCACCCUCUCUCUCCAGACAGACUCUGAUCUGCCUCUGUCACUGUGAUGAGUGUGCAUUUUCUAGAAACAUCUGAAUGGAAUCAUUCUUCACACACUCUUCUCCCAUCUAGUAUAAGGAGGUGACGUGGAACUUUCUGAGAAAUGGUCAAACUGUUUUCCAAGGGGGCUAUGCUGUUUUCCGUUCCCGCCAGAGAGGAGUGGGGAGGUCAGGGGGGCAGCUGCCGUUCCGGCCAGCACUGAUUGUCUGUCACUGUCGCCGUGGGCGUGUGGUGGCAUCUCACUGUGGCUUUCAUUUGCAUUUCCUGGUGGCGAAUGACUCCGAGGUUUGGUUCUCACGGCCUGCCCGUGAGGUAGGAGGUGUUGGCCCAGUUUCCCAGGGAGGAGGCUCAGGAGCAGAGCCAUGGGGUAACCUGCCCGAGGCCACCCCGCCCCGAAUGGGAGAACCGAAGCUGUCCCUGUUGCUCACCUUCUUCUUUCCUGAGCUGGUAGAUCUCUUGUGACCCCAUUAACUCUGAGCCCCACCGGGUGUCCGGUCAGGGCAAGGGACAAGCUGAGGGAGGAAGAAGGAGCCGCCAGCUUCCCCGCCCCAGGCUCUCUGUCUUCAAAAGCAGCAAACACGCCCGGCCCUCAGCAUGGAGCCUGGCCAGGGGCCCCUUCUUUUCUAUCAGCCUCAAGUCACUAGACGCCCAUAGCGCGCUCCUCUUCUCUUCUAUCAGCAGGAGCAGAGUCCCCCAGCGAAGUCUCCCCGCUCCCCACAGAGCCCCUCCAGCCCGGCUCCCUCAUCCCUGGAGAGGAUCCCAAUCUCCUCAGAACUCACCCUCCCACGGCUGCCUCUGCUGUGGGGACUCCCGAGGCUGUGGACAAGUGGCUGGAGGCACCCCCCGUCGGAGGGGCGGGUGGCAGGAGCGCCUCUGGGGCGGGGCAGCCACCUGGGGAAGAAAAGGGGGGGCCACGGGGCCCUUGGGUGCCCGGCCCGCCCCAUACACAAGGCCAGCUUCCCUCUUAGCACACAGGGCUGUGUCCCUGACACAGAUUAACCAGACCCCAGAGCGGGGGAGUUGAUGGCUCUGAGAUAAGCUUGUGCCCCCCACCCCAAGUCAUGGUGUCAAAUCUAACUUAAGGGGUUUCUCAGCCAAAAUGCCGUUUGCCACCAGGACUGUCCCAACAAAGGACUUUCCCUCUCCCCUUGGCUACUCUUUCUCUUGGUCUUGGUCCUUAUCGCGAUCCUCAGCAGCACAGGCAGGCUGUGUGUGUGUGUGUGUGUGUGUGUGUCUGCACUUGCACACGUGGUGUGCCAGCAGCUGCGGAGUCAUUUGGGCCUGAGUUCUACGACUGAAUCCUGUUCCCCUGCGAGGCUUUGUCCCGUUAAUGAACUCUCUGUGAUUCAUUUCACUUCUCUGCAUAAUGGGCAUGACACAGCCUGGAAGUUGGGCGUGAUAAGUCAGUUAAAGGGGAAGUGUCAUGUCCAGAGCCUCUGCCUGAGCCUGCACCAAGCAGGCACCUCCACAGGUUUUCUCCCCACUUGUGCCCCUUACUUUUGCCCUGGCCUGCGUCCUGAGCCAAGGGACGGAAGGGAAGGUCUGUGGGUCGGUUCCAGGCGGGGGUAGAGCCCUGAGCUGAUGAGGGUUCUGAGCCUGGGGUCCACCCUGACAGUGGAGAACCUGCAAUGCUGGGCCAGGAGCCUGAACUUCAGGCUGCCAAAAGUAGAGUAACUCAGCAGGGGCGAGUUCCCAGGGCCCGUGUCCCCUUCCUUCUCCUCACCUCCAAUAGCAAAGGGAGGGGUCAGCGGCUGCCCGCCUGUGAUAAAUCCGAGAAGGAGCCCGGCCAGCCCAGAUGUAGAAAACGGCCGACUUGCUCUCGG